rnacentral:tRNA from 1 species
GCUGGCUUAGCUCAGUGGCAGAAGCGGCUGCUUUACAACAAGAAUAGCGCAGUAGGUCACAGGUUCGAUCCCUGUAGCUAGCA